rfam:Chlamydomonas reinhardtii strain CC-503 cw92 mt+ CHLREscaffold_3 genomic scaffold, whole genome shotgun sequence.
GUCUACGGUCAUACCAGUCAGGCAAAGCCCCGAACCCGUCCGAUCUCGGAAGGUAAAACUGACUGGGCCCGUCAAGUACGGUGGUGAGAGAUCACGCCGGAACCACGCGGUGCCGUAGGCC